GGUAUGUGCACAGUGGCCAGGCAGCAGAGCCACAGGCCAUGGGAGCAUAACUUGGGUGUGGUUUCAGGCACAAUGUUGCUUCAGUGUGGCUGUCCACAAUUUCCAGGAAUUAUAUUCACCAUCAGCUUUCCACCCCAUCAUCUCUGAUGAAGUGCUGGAGCCCAAGACAUGAACCGUAUUCCCUCUGUAUCUGCCAGUGAUACAGAAGCUAAUCCCAGCCUCAGCAGAACCAACACCCUCGUCUCUCAGGCAUCUGCCCAGUGGAUGAGGCUAAGGCCUACCCACUUGUCACAGAUGUGCCUGUGUUACUCAAGCAUCAGUUAAGACCUCUACAUUUCCAUAAGUGUGCUUCAGAAAGUACCUCUCCAAAACACAGUAUUAGCAAUUGGAGCUGCCACCCUGGAGGGUGACCCUGAACAUCCAAUAGGAUGUGAACAAGAAUUCCCUUUGUGGCAGGUGUGCUGGAUUUGUUGCAGCAGGAGGAUACUUUUCAGGAGGUGACUUGUCCAUCAGCAGGGGUCACUGGACUCCUUGACAGUUUCAGACAUCACAUUUUCUUGGGAAAGUUGAUUAUUUCACAUCUCCUUUCAUUCCAAAUUGGAAUAUAACAGAAAUACCAAACAAAGCUUAUUGAA